CGUGGACCUUUUUUUUCCAUUCCUAAUCAUCAAGAAUCUCUUCUCUUUUCUUGACCAAAAAAAGAACAAAUUAAAAAGAUCUUUUCCAUUUUCAGUAAUACAAGGAUAUUUUGUACUGCUUUUUUAAAUAAUAAGAUGUGGAUCGACAUUCAUUCGACUCAGAACAAGUGUUCAAUGUAAUAGAUAAAUUGGCCUCUUCUAAUUCUCGACUGUUUUCUAAGAUGGAGAAUGGAGUAAUAAUUAAAUGGUGUGACAAUUGGAAGGCACAAGCAAAUUUAGUCGGCGGCAUCAGGUUUUCAACCCGGCCCUCAUUGGCAAAAAAUUAUACUAUACCUAUGAUGUAAUUUUUACUUUUUAUGCAUAUGUUUAGAACUUUAAUCCUGUCACGACCCAA